UUCAUUUGAAUCAGCUGCAGAAGGGAACUGAGGGCAUGUUUGGUUCAUGAUUGGAAUGGGAAUGAGAAAUAAAAUUGGAUUAUUUUGAAAUAGAAAAUGGAAUGAGGAAUCAUCCAAAAAUAUUUGGUUCAUUAUUAGAAUGAAAAUUGGAAUGAAAAUUUAAAAUUUUUAAGAGAGAGUUUUGAUUAAGAGAAAGGAAAGUGAUGAUGGGAGAGGAGGUAGGUGUUGAUGAAAAAGGAUUUUGAAUAGUUUACUUUGGAAUGAGCCAAUCCGAGAUUCAAAACCGGAUUGGAUCAUAAAUAGAUUUGGCCAUUUCCAUUUCGGACUGGAAUAGAAAUCGAAAUCCAAUUCCUAUAAAACAAACGGCAACUAUCGGAAUUAAUAAAUUCCAUUCCGAUUCCAUGGUCUAAAAUAGAUAAACCAAACAUGGCCUGAAGGUGGAAUUACAAAGCUUGAUGAUAGUACUGUUACGCUUUCAAUAACUAGAUUUUCGAUUCGACGAUCGGCUCCAUUAGAUUGAUAUAAAGUAUUUAAAAUAUCUUUAAAAUAAAUUUUAUAAUUUUUUGAUAUUAUUUACAUGCGAUUGAAAGGCUAAAAAUCAAUGACUAAUAAUAAAAUUCUCACAAAAAAUUAUGAAAUAAUACUAAAAUUUAAAUAAAAAAAUUUGAUACUAGUAUUAUCCAAAUUUCACAUGAUUUAGAUAUUUUUAUUUCGUUAAACUUGCAAAUGGCCCACCUAAAUUACAAAAUUGUUGAUUUUGAUGAGCCUCUUCGACCAGUAGGUAAAUAAUAUUAAAAAAUUAUAAAAUUUAUAUUUCAGAUACUUUAAAUAAUUUAGAUCAAAUCUAAUAGAGUUGAUGACGACUCAAAAGUCCUAUCAUAAAAAAUAACUUGAAAGCACAGUGACCUCUCUACUCUCAAUAGCAUACUAGCUUAGUUCUGUAUAUGUGUAUAUUUUUCCUAUGAAAUCU
rnacentral:lncRNA from 1 species